GACGAACGCUGGCGGCGUGCCUAAUACAUGCAAGUAGAACGCACAGUUUAUACCGUAGCUUGCUACACCAUAGACUGUGAGUUGCGAACGGGUGAGUAACGCGUAGGUAACCUGCCUGGUAGCGGGGGAUAACUAUUGGAAACGAUAGCUAAUACCGCAUAAUAUUAAUUAUUGCAUGAUAAUUAAUUGAAAGGUGCAAUUGCACCACUACCAGAUGGACCUGCGUUGUAAUAGCUAGUAGGGGAGGUAACGGCUCACCUAGGCGACGAUACAUAGCCGACCUGAGAGGGUUGUCCGCCAAACUGGGACUGAGACCCGGCCCAGACUCCUACGGGAGGCAGCCGUAGGGAAUCUUCGGCAAUGGACGAAAGUCUGACCGAGCCACGCCGCGGGAGUGAAGAAGGUUGUCGGAUCGUAAAGAUCUGUUGUAAGAGAAGAACGGGUGUGGGAGUGGACAGUGCACACUGUGACGGUACCUUACCAGAAAGGGACGGCUAACUACGUG
rnacentral:rRNA from 1 species